CCUACGGGGGGCAGCAGUGGGGAAUAUUGGACAAUGGGGGCAACCCUGAUCCAGCCAUGCCGCGUGUGUGAAGAAGGCCCUCGGGUUGUAAAGCACUUUCAGUGAGGAAGAACGCCUGGUGGUUAAUACCCAUCAGGAAAGACAUCACUCACAGAAGAAGCACCGGCUAACUCCGUGCCAGCAGCCGCGGUAAUACGGAGGGUGCGAGCGUUAAUCGGAAUUACUGGGCGUAAAGCGCGCGUAGGUGGCUUGAUAAGCCGGUUGUGAAAGCCCCGGGCUCAACCUGGGAACGGCAUCCGGAACUGUCAAGCUAGAGUGCAGGAGAGGAAGGUAGAAUUCCCGGUGUAGCGGUGAAAUGCGUAGAGAUCGGGAGGAAUACCAGUGGCGAAGGCAGCCUUCUGGACUGACACUGACACUGAGGUGCGAAAGCGUGGGUAGCAAACAGGAUUAGAUACCCCAGUAGUC
rnacentral:rRNA from 1 species